rnacentral:rRNA from 1 species
GAUGAACGCUGGCGGCGUGCCUAAUACAUGCAAGUAGAACGCUGAAGGAGGAGCUUGCUCUUCUGGAUGAGUUGCGAACGGGUGAGUAACGCGUAGGUAACCUGCCUGGUAGCGGGGGAUAACUAUUGGAAACGAUAGCUAAUACCGCAUGACAACAGUUAUUGCAUGAUAACUGUUUAAAAGGGGCAACUGCUCCACUACCAGAUGGACCUGCGUUGUAUUAGCUAGUUGGUGAGGUAACGGCUCACCAAGGCGACGAUACAUAGCCGACCUGAGAGGGGGAUCGGCCACACUGGGACGGAGACACGGCCCAGACUCCUACGGGAGGCAGCAGUAGGGAAGCUUCGGCGAUGGACGGAAGUCUGACCGAGCAACGCCGCGUGAGUGAAGAAGGUUUUCGGAUCGUAAAGCUCUGUUGUAAGAGAAGGACGAGUGUGAGAGUGGAAAGUUCACACUGUGACGGUAUCUUACCAGAAAGGGACGGCUAACUACGUG